rnacentral:misc_RNA from 1 species
GAUGAAGAACGUAGCGAAAUGCGAUAAGUAAUGUGAAUUGCAGAAUUCAGUGAAUCAUCGAAUCUUUGAACGCACAUUGCGCCCGCCAGCACUCUGGCGGGCAUGCCUGUUCGAGCGUCAUUUCAACCAUCAAGCCCCCAGGGGCUUGUGCUGGGGCCCUGCGGCUGCCCGCAGGCCCUGAAAACCAGUGGCGGGCUCGCUAGUCACACCGUGCGCAGUAGCACAUCUCGCUCAGGGCGUGCGGCGGGCUCCUGCCGUGAAACCCCCCACUGUAACCCCAAAGGUUGACCUCGGAUCAGGUAGGAAUACCCGCUGAACUUAAGCAUAUCAAUAAGCGGAGGA